rnacentral:rRNA from 1 species
AUCGAUGCACGCGAAGAACCUUACCUGGGUUUGACAUAUACCGGAAAGCCGUAGAGAUACGGCCCCCCUUGUGGUCGGUAUACAGGUGGUGCAUGGCUGUCGUCAGCUCGUGUCGUGAGAUGUUGGGUUAAGUCCCGCAACGAGCGCAACCCUUGUCCUGUGUUGCCAGCGCGUAAUGGCGGGGACUCGCAGGAGACUGCCGGGGUCAACUCGGAGGAAGGUGGGGACGACGUCAAGUCAUCAUGCCCCUUAUGUCCAGGGCUUCACACAUGCUACAAUGGCCGGUACAGAGGGCUGCGAUACCGUGAGGUGGAGCGAAUCCCUUAAAGCCGGUCUCAGUUCGGAUCGGGGUCUGCAACUCGACCCCGUGAAGUCGGAGUCGCUAGUAAUCGCAGAUCAGCAACGCUGCGGUGAAWCCGNUUCCCGGGCA